rnacentral:rRNA from 1 species
CUUCCCUGCCCUUGACAUGCUGAGAACUUUCCAGAGAUGGAUUGGUGCCUUCGGGAACUCGGACACAGGUGCUGCAUGGCUGUCGUCAGCUGGUGUCGUGAGAUGUUGGGUUAAGUCCCGAAACGAGCGCAACCCUUGUCCUUAGUUACCAGCAGGUAAUGGUGGGAACUCUAAGGAGACUGCCGGUGACAAACCGGAGGAAGGUGGGGAUGACGUCAAGUCAUCAUGGCCCUUACGGCCAGGGCUACACACGUGCUACAAUGGUCGGUACAAAGGGUUGCCAAGCCGCGAGGUGGAGCUAAUCCCAUAAAACCGAUCGUAGUCCGGAUCGCAGUCUGCAACUCGACUGCGUGAAGUCGGAAUCGCUAGUAAUCGUGAAUCA